GCUGCCAUUCGCAACAAUUAAUAUUGUAAUAGUUGAUAUAUAUAUUAAGAUGGGGCUGUUCCUUCAGGUGUUGACGGUGUUAGUGAUAACGGUUUCGCUGCAAGGAUGGCUGCCUCUUAGUUGCUUGGAGGAAGAGAGGAUCGCUCUCUUGCACCUCAAAGAUUCUCUUAACUAUCCCAACGGCACCUCCCUUCCCUCCUGGAGAAUAGCCCACGCCAACUGUUGUGAUUGGGAACGUAUUGUCUGCAACAGCAGUACAGGUCGAGUCACCUUACUCGAUCUUUUGGGCGUAAGGAACGAGGAACUGGGAGAUUGGUACUUAAAUGCCUCCUUGUUCCUUCCUUUCCAACAACUCAACGCUCUCUCCUUGUACGGUAAUCGUAUAGCUGGUUGGGUUGAGAACAAAGGUGGUUAUGAGUUACAGAAAUUGAGCAAUUUGGAGAUCCUUGACUUGGAAUCUAAUAGCUUCAAUAACAGUAUUCUAUCAUUUGUGGAGGGGCUUCCGUCUCUCAAAUCACUGUAUUUAGAUUAUAAUAGACUGGAGGGGUCAAUAGAUUUGAAAGAAUCUUUGACCAGCUUAGAGACCUUGAGUCUGGGCGGCAACAAUAUUAGCAACUUGGUAGCCUCAAGAGGUCCAAGCAACUUGAGGACUCUAUACCUAGAAAAUAUCACAACCUAUGGAAGUAGCUUCCAGUUACUGCAAUCAUUAGGAGCAUUCUCAAACCUCACAACACUUUCUCUGGAAUACAACGAUUUUAGAGGAAGAAUAUUAGGUGACAAGUUUCAAAAUUUAAGCUCCUUGGAAAUGUUGUAUCUGGACAGUUGUUCUCUAGAUGAACACUCUCUUCAAAGCCUUGGAGCACUGCCUUCUCUAAAAAAUCUAUCAUUGCGAGAACUUAAUGGCACUGUACCUUAUGGAGGCUUCCUUGAUCUCAAGAACUUGAAAUACUUGGAUUUGAGUUACAAUACUCUCAGUAAUAGCAUCUUCCAAGCCAUCGGAACAAUGACCUCUCUUAAAACUUUAAUGUUGUAUAAUUUAAAUGGCCAAUUACCUACAAUGCAAGGCUUCCUUGAUCUCAAGAACUUGGAAUACUUGGAUUUGAGUUACAAUACACUUAAUAAUAGCAUCUUCCAAGCCAUCGGAACAAUGACCUCUCUCAAAACUUUAAGCUUGCAGAGCUGCAGACUAAAUGGCCGAAUACCUACAACCCAAGGCCUAUGUGACUUAAAUCAUCUCCAAGAGCUAGAUAUUAGUGACAAUGAUCUUAGUGGAGUCUUGCCUUCGUGUCUGACGAAUUUGACUUCCCUUCAACAACUUUAUCUCUCUUCCAAUUACUUGAAGAUUCCCAUGUCAUUGAGCCCAUUAUACAACCUUUCAAAACUCAAGUCUUUUUCUAGUUCAGGUAAUGAAAUAUUCGCAGAAGAAGAUGAUCAUAAUCUGAGCCCAAAGUUCCAGUUAAAGUCCCUCUAUUUGAGAGGUCGUGGACAAGAUGCGGGAGCAUUACCCAAGUUCUUUUACCAUCAGUUUAGCCUGCAAUCUUUAGAUCUUGAAAACAUCCAAAUAAAGGGAGGGUUUCCAAAUUGGUUGAUUGAAAACAACACAUACCUACAAGAAAUUUAUUUAGAAAACUGUUCUCUUUCGGGUCCAUUCUUGUUGCCAAAGAAUUCUCAUGUGAAUUUGUCAUUCCUAAGUAUAUCCAUGAAUCACUUCCAAGGCCAAAUCCCUUCAGAAAUCGGGGAUCGUUUGCCAGGGUUAGAAGUUUUAAAGAUGUCUGAUAAUGGUUUCAAUGGAAGCAUUCCUUCCUCGUUGGGUAACAUGAGCUCGCUGUUUGAGUUAGACCUAUCCAAUAAUGUUUUGACUGGAAGAAUACUUUCGAACAACAGUUUGCAAGGCCAAAUCCCUAGAUGUAUAUGGAAUAUGUCUUCUCUUGAAUUCUUGGACUUAUCAGGGAACAAUUUCUCCGGUCGUUUCCCACCUAGAUUCAACACUUCUUCAAAUUUGAGAUAUGUUUAUUUGUCUAGAAAUAAGUUCCAAGGACCGAUCACAAUGACAUUUUAUGACCUCGCUGAGAUAUUGGCAUUGGAUCUUUCCCAUAAUAAUUUAACUGGUACAAUUCCAAAAUGGAUUGACAGGCUAUCUAACUUGAGAUUUCUACUCUUGAGUUAUAACAAUCUUGAAGGUGAAAUCCCAAUUCAAUUAUCCAGGUUGGACCGAUUAACCUUGAUUGAUCUUUCUCACAAUCACCUUUCUGGUAACAUCCUCUAUUGGAUGAUAUCUACUCAUCCUUUCCCACAACCAUACAAUUCUCGUGAUUCUAUGUCCUCAUCACAACAAUCCUUCGAGUUUACAACGAAGAAUGUAUCCCUUUCUUAUAGGGGCAGCAUUAUCCAGUACUUCACAGGAAUUGAUUUCUCAUGCAACAAUUUCACAGGAGAGAUUCCUCCUGAAAUUGGAAACCUCAGUAUGAUCAAGGUAUUGAACCUUUCGCAUAACAAUUUGACGGGACCAAUUCCACCAACAUUUUGGAACUUAAAGGAAAUAGAGAGCUUGGAUCUUUCCUACAACAAACUAGAUGGAGAAAUCCCACCUCGACUUACUGAACUAUUUUCUCUAGAAGUUUUUAUUGUGGCUCACAAUAAUCUGUCUGGGAAGACUCCUGCGAGAGUUGCUACAAGGACAACCCUUUUCUUUGUGGAGAACCGCUAUCCAAAAUAUGUGAUGUGGCUAUGCCACCAUCACCAACUUCAACGAACAAUGAAGAUAAUGGUGGCUUCAUGGAUAUAAAGGUUUUCUAUGUGACCUUUUGGGUUGCAUACAUCAUGGUGCUGCUAGUGAUAGGUGCAGUUCUGUAUAUAAAUCCAUAUUGGCGACGAGGAUGGUUUUACUUUAUUGAGAUUAUAUGCCCGGGAGAAGAAACUCUACCAAGAAGUCAGGGUACAUCUCAAAUCUUCUGCAUAACUUUUUGAAUGAUGCAUUCUGAGCGUCACUAGUUUUCAAGACUAUGGUUAUAGCAUAGAAUUUCAAUGUAUUUAUUUUUGCUGCUGGAAUGGGUUUUAUCUAUGCACAGCAGCUACGAGGCGAUACACACAGGGUCCCAAUCCGUUCAAAGAGAUUUGGAGCAGGGUUGUCAGUUGAAUGAGGCAGAAGUAUGGAAAUGGUGGAGGUUGAUGAAGUAGAAGAUGUAAUGACUACAGAGAAAAUGGCUGAAAUUCCCAUAAAGGUACUUUGUGCAGGAAUGUCAGUUGCAAACAGCUCGCUUACUGAAUUUGCUAUUGGUUCUGCAGAGGGAUAUGCAGAAUAUGUUACGUAAUGGGAGAAUGCCAUUGCCAAGUGCUCCAGAGUUCUAGCAGAAACAGGAAGAAGGAAUUGGAAGUGAAUCAAUGAGAAUGAAUGAGUGCUCACGGGGUGAUUUUUUUACAGUGGAUUCAAAUUCAACAACUACAAGGGCUAUUUCCUGCAGCACGGAGAGUUUCUGAAUUUUCAUGAUUAGAAUCCAACUACUGUGGCCACAAUUUCCUCUGAAGUUUGAAACACCUAUCACUUUGCUUAAGGAAAUGUUCACAAUUAACAACCUACAACUGUUGGAUGAUUAUUUUUCAAAAAUUUUACAUGGAAUACAAGAAUGAAAGGUAAAAAGGAAA